rnacentral:misc_RNA from 1 species
UUUUUUUUUUUUUUUUAAAAAAAAAUAAAUAAAAAUUUUGUAUCACAGGUGAUAACAUACCAAACAAAACCCCCUUUUCACAUACGCGUGGCAAGUAAAGCACAGUACGGAGAAAAAGAAAAUUACAUGCAUGACAAUGACUUAAGCCUAAUUCUGCCAAGACCAAAGGCUAGAAAAUUGUUGUUCACUGAGCUCCAACUGCUCUUGCUGCUCGUUGAAAUAGUAACCAUUAGUUUGAUAAGGAUCACCAUAUGGAGCUUGUGGAAGCUGCUGCAUGUUCCAGUAAUAGGUUUGAUGAUUUCCAUUUUCUAGUGGCAUUGUUGAACUUACUGCAGGAGGAGGGUUUUCUUGUUCUCUAUCAGAACCCGUUUGGGUAUUCGUUGAACCGCCUGCAGCUUCAGAAUCGUUCCUUGAUGAGUAACGUUGCCUAAUAUUCUCCAUCUCUUCUUGCAUACUUGGCUUUCCCUUGUACUUUAUCUUGCAAAGCCUCCAUUCCGUUGCUUUUGAUUCGAGGCUAUACUCAUGCAUGAUCCAAUUGGUCUUUAUGGCAUUGUUGCGGUUUCUUUCUUGGUCCCUGUACCUGUGAAAUGUUAAAGGCCUCUUGUACCCAACAAGAUUUUCAUUAACAUGAACUUUCUUGACAUGGCUAGUAGCUUUCCACCAUCCCCGUCCAGUAACUUCCCUGGAAUCAUUCUCCCUUUUGCAGUAGUAGUAUCUCUCCUCGUUUCCUAAAGCGGCACUGUGGUUCCAUUCAAGAUCUUGAGGUUCAUGCUCAUAGAGAUUGGCGUAGACAAUGAAAGGGAGAGGCAUUUCUUGCUCAGAAGCUUUUCGGUCUAGGAUUUGGAUGAGUUCUUGAUCAGUGGGAUUGAACCUGAAGCCAUGAGGCACCAUAUCUUCAGAAUUAACAGAACUUUAUUAAUCUUUCAGGAUUGAAUAAAUGUUUCUGAAAGGUGACUCCAAGAAAGAUAGCCACUACAACUACUUCC